ensembl:misc_RNA Metazoa_SRP Metazoan signal recognition particle RNA
GCCGGGUGCAGUGGUGCAUGCCUGUAGUCCCAGCUACUCAGUAGGUUGAGAUGGGAGGAUCAUUUGAGGCCAGGAAUUCUGGCCUGUACUGCAUUAUGCUGAUUGGGUGUCCACACUAAGUUCAGCAUUAAUAUGGUGACCCCUCAGGACCAGGGAACCACCAGGUUGCCUAAGGAGGGGUGAACUGGCCCAGGUUGAAAAUGGAGCAGGUGAAAACUUUGCUGCUGAGUAAUGAGAUCACAUUUGUGAAUAGCCACUGCACUCCAACCUGGGCAACAUAGUGACACAACAUCUCU